AUAGCGCUCGCGUAGCCGUCGGCUGAGACGUGGCAACAUCGUCAGCGAACACGUCGUCACGGUCACCUGACUUUUCGUGGAAACGCGACGCUACUAUACUCUUCUUGAUCGCGCGCGCGCGCGCGCGCGUGAGUAUGAAUAUAAGCGUGCACGAAUGCGUUUACGCACGGCCUUUUUUCUCCUUUUCAUUUCCCUCCCGUUACUCCUCCUAAACUCGUUCUCUCUCUCUCUCUAACUCUUUCUUCCUCCCCACUCUUUGUCUCUGCCUCUACUCGUCGCCCUCUUACGGUGAGAUCAAUCGAUCGAAGACAGCGGAUUUUUCCGCAGACGACACACGAUAUGCGCUUCGACUUCGGGUACAUACGUACGGCGCGCCGUUGAUGCCACGGGGAAAGUGCUUCUAUCUGGUUAAUCGUAUGUAACACGUAAUCUGUCAAAUAGGAGAAGGAAAGAGAGAGAUUACGUUGCUAUCAAAGCCAUGAUAAGGACGUCGGUGGUUCUCAACUUGGGAAAUCAUGAUUACAUUCUAGGUUACUCGAAGAAAUUGUUACUGCAAGCAAGAUGCGCAUAGAAAUGCGCGAGAUAUUUUCCAUCAAUCGAAUAAUGGAAAAUAAUUCUUCGAAACUGACUCUAGCCAAAAAGAGCCACAAUAUGCUCUUUGCUUUCUGUUUCUUGUCUUCUAUCUUUUUUUGGUUUAAAGCUUAAGAUUUGAGUCAGAAAGCGAUAAAGAGAAAGAAACAGGAAGCAAACAGUAUAUUGUAGAUCAAGCUUAAAUGUGUAGUCUAUUUAAAACAGUGUAAUUCAUGUGUAUUCGUGGAGAAAAAUUAUCAAAUUAUUGAUACUAUUUGAACGAGUUAUCAUUGAGAACAUUGAAUAACAUUGCUAAUUUUAAUAUUGAUAUCUCGUGUACUUGUCCAUAUAAAUAUUAAUAAAUUCAUGUAAUAUCGAUUACAAAGCGUCGAUUAUCGGAUACAUCAGAUGCUACACAUCUGAAAUUGUAUUGCUAGACAGAUACUGGACAAUUUCGUUUCUUGACUUUACAUUAAUAAGUUCAAAUGCCACUAUGAUAAGAGCGCAAGAUAACGAUGGGCAUGCGUCGAAGAUAACGUCGAUAACACGUUGUUAUGUACGACACUGAACAUUGCGACCAAGUUGUUUAUGCCAGCAAAAGGAACUCUAUAUAUGUACAUGUUUACAACUGAUAUCGAUAUAAUGGUAUUACACGACUUAACUACCGUGACGAUUUAUUAUUCCAGGAAUAUAUGGAAAAGCAACGUAACUCGUGAAAAGAAACACGAGGAAAAACAAGAUAAUUAUCAAUUAUUUAUAAUAUCAUUGGUGAAUAUGUAAUGUGAUUAAAGGACUUCUGCUUUAUGAUAGAUAUCGACUAUAUAUCACAAGAGAUCUAUAUUUGAUAUAAGAUCUAUAUUUAUCACUAAAUAAAGUGCCAAGAUAGAUUGCUGCCAUUAUGAAGCAGACAGAAGAUAUUGAACAUAAUACAUGAUACUGAACAUAA